CAGAGUUCCUGUGAGCAAAACUGCACGCGUAGCACCAGCAGUGACUUUCAGGUGCAUAGAUGAAGAAGUCUCACUUCUCCGUACAAUGUUCUUUUAAAUUUUAGGAUGCCAGGUCCUUCGCCGCAAUGCUUUUUUUUUGCCAAAAUUGGCCUUUUUUUUUUGUAAAGGACAUUGAAUGAUAACACUAGAAGUCAGCUGACUGCUGUGUCACAGAGCUGCUGCUUUCUACAUUUUCACAACUGCAAGAGCUCUUUCUGCUGCAGUUUCGUAGUCGCAAUGCGGCAAUACAGACGCAUAGGACGGAAUACGGGACUAUGUUGUAUUUUUUCUGGGGUGUUACCAUUAUGUCGAAUUUGGAAUACAAGAAGGAUUGCCCUUUGUUGGAUAAGAGAGAGAAAGUAGCCUGGAUAUAAACGUUGACAUCGAACUUGCAGCGUUUUUUCAAUUCAACAAGCCCUGCUUAUAGACGUGAAUCCAAACUGCCUCCGAAGAACGAAGAAACAUCUGUUUUCUCACCUGGUAUAAUAAUAGCUCUCUGUGCCACGCUACUGUACCUGCAAAGAAUAGGACCCCUUAAGACAAAGGAUCUGUGCAUGCUAGAAUCUAUAUCUGGGGCCUUUGCAGCCACUCUGUAGAUGAAGCAUUCUCGUACGUCCUUGGCUUCAUAGAACACCGGGAAAAACAGAAGGAUGCAGUUUAUUCCUCAUAUGAGUAAGGCUGGCAAAAAAGAGAGAGGGAGAAAGAGAGCAAGAGGAAGAGAGAGAGAGAGACAGAAGCCAGACUUACUGACCUAAAUCAAUCCCAAUCCUUCUCUGGAUACAGGGCAGCAGCCGUCUAGCCGUGACACAAACAGCCAUCAAGUGGAGAAUUUCUAGGAUUGCAAUUCUUGUUGGUUGGAGCUACACUGAACGAAACACAUUACUAUGCGCUCAUAUUAUUUUUGUCUUUUUUUUUCUUCUGAUCUUUGUUUAUUUGCUGCAACCGUCUAUUUUUUCCCCCUGCUCUCUCUUGCAUUUCAGCUACAUUAAUUGUGCUUGAUCUAAGUGCACAUUCAUGUGGAUUAGUCUGUCUGUAAUGCAGUCCUUAUCUGCUCCUGCUGGAAACCAGGGCACUACUGUAAGUCAGCCUGCUUUAACAGUGGUUUUGCGUGAUGCUAUGCAGCCAGGAUGCCUUGUACACUGACAACAAAGGAGAAUACACAAAGCAUUACUUUAUCUGCUGGAUUUUUACAGGAGCAUAACUCUUCUUCGAUAUGACGCCCUCCUCCAUUUUCCUUCAUUUCUCUUUUUGUUUCUAAAUCAACAAAUCGAAGAAUCUAACAGAUAUGAUCAUGGAUAUGUGGUGUUUGUUUUUCGUUUGAUUUUAGGAAACAAAUGUAGCCUGUGGAGACUGCGAUUUUAAACUGCAACACAUUUUAGGUUAUUGCCAAUUUGAAAUACUUGGUUUGUUGAAGCUGAGCCCUAAGGGACAAGCUCAGUAACUGAGAGAGAGAUCGUAGAUAAGGAAAUAAAAAUGACAAGCGUAAUGGAGGGUCUGCAAAAAAGACUGUCAGAGAAUCAGUUCGUGGAUAGCAAUUUCUCCAGUAUGAGACUGAAUAAUUCAUACAUUGAAAUUACCCUGCUUUCACCUUUCCAUUUAAAGCGACAUGAUCUGAAUCUCUAAUAAAUUUUCAGGAUAACGUAAAAUGCCAAUUUGAAUCUGAAGUGCUUUUGAAACCAGAUGCUGAAAAUCCUGAAUCUUUCGAUAUCUUUCACAAUUAUCCGGUGAGAACUCCCCUUCUUCACGAAGCAGCUUUGCCAAGGAAAAUUACUGUGAUUACAAAGCAACAAUAGAAUACCAUGAAAUCAUGUCUAAUUUGCCUAAUUUUUUUUUUGAAGAUUGACAUUCCUGCUUGAUUAUUCACAUUAACACCAAGUCUGGCAAACCGGGAUCAAUAUUCUACAAAAACAAAAUAAAUGUACUCCGUAUUCAUAUUUUGUACUCAAACUAUGAAAAGUCGCACAUAACGUUGUUUGUGUUCUGAAUUGAAUGCGUCAUAAUGUAGCCAUAUUAACUAGCUUACUUGUUUAUUUGUCUGUUGUUUUCUGAGCAGAUGGGAAAAUGCGAAACAAUUGCUUUUGCUUUGUGUGCUCUCAUCAGAGGUAAUGAAGUUGGUUCAGAUUUUGGUUUAACGAAAUUGCUCUUCAGGUGAAUGCUGAUUGGAUUACGCUGGCCCAGACAAUAGUCUGUGCUGUGUAUCUCUGUUCUGCUGGUUUUCGUCAGGGUGCGAUGUGCACAUUUUCUGUUUUGGGUUUUGGUGUGAACUCAGGAAGCUACUUUUAUUAGCUGGUUUUAUCGUUUUUCCUUAUGAAUGUGUCCACCUGCUUUGGCAAUAAUAGAUCAGAUGGAUGAAAAGCUAACAAGUUCUUAAUUUGAUUAUCCUCUAUGAAUAAGAAUGAUAUUCUCCACCUAUGGAAUCAGCAAAUUGUCUGGAUACGUAAGUAUGCAAAAUAUGAACUACCUGGCUUUGAACUAGUUUGCAUUUUGUGAAUUGUCGAGCAGUUGCAGGGAAAAUCUGUCUGCUGUGUUCUUGAGUCACAAAAUACUUUCAAUUAUUAGAUCUUACGUUAUUAUCUCUAUACCCUCUGUAUCAGAGGCGAACAUAUUGUGUACAUAGAUAUCCUAGGAAAUAGACAAAUGUUAUAGACAGCGACAAGAGAACAAUAAGAAAUAUUUGUAACAAACAGAAAUAUAAUAAAUAUAUAACAGAACAUGUAAGUAGCUUUGGAUAAAAUUACUUAUAGCAAACGAUCAAACUGAAAUAUAAAGAGUAUGCUUGCAUCUUAUAGAAAAAGAAUUGUGAAAAUUCAAAAAUGUCAGUGUGUGUCAUUAUGUGUCUGUGUGUGCGAGUGUCUAUAAAUUGACUAUGUAUGCGCGCCUGUGUGUGUAUAUAUAUAUAUUAUACACACAUAUAUUUGUUCUUCAAUUAUUCUUACUUUUUUUUUUAUCUAUUAUUGCACAAUUGCCUAUAACAGUUAAUUUUCUUCUAUCGUGUGUCGCUGUACUCAAUACGUGUCUGCAAAGUACAAAAUAUGCAUUCAAGACAAGAGAUUUCAUAUUUAGAACAAGGCUCAUGAAUGAACAAAGAUCAUUUAUUUCCUAUAUUUUAAAAUGUGUCUCUCCGUCUUUGUAAAGUAUUUUUGGGGUAGAAAUGCACACUAUUUACAUAAUGAUAAUCACUUAUUUACAAAUAAUAUAACGGAUUGCUUUAUGCAGCAAUAUAUCACCAUCUUAAAGUGUUAAUACACUUAAAAUAUGAAUCUUUGAAGUGUUUCUGCAGAAACAUGAAAAUAAUCUCAGCUAUCUGUGUCUGUUAAUCCUUUCACUGCUGGCCCUGUUAGCAACCAACUGCAGUGUACUGUAGGCCCCACUUACAUGAAUAAAUGGUUAAUUCACAGAAGAGAAUAUGAACAUUAUGAUAUAAUGGCUAAUUGCAGAAGAACCAUGUCAACUAAAGUAUAUUUCUCUACGAUACAAAACUUCAGAGAAUGUAUAUAUCAAAAAUGGUGGCCAUUUCCUGUCGCAAGUCUGAUUUGCAUGACAAAAUAUGCAUCCAGAAAAUGUGGCUAAAAACGUCUAAACUCACUUGUAUUUCAGAAGGACAUUAUAAUGAAAAUGUUGAAAAGAUAAAAUAUUGAAGUUGACUUAGGAAUCAUUUGCCUUUUUUCCACAUAAUUGUUUAAUGACUUUGAGUUACUGUCAUCCAUUUUGAAAUGGUGAAUAGCUUUUUAUCAGUAAUGUUGUGUGAUUCAGGUUAUAAUGCAAGAUCUUGUAUCAGACACAUCGACAGAAUGUUACCUUUUUGGUUGUAUCAUGCAAUUUACAAAAUAGUCGUAGUGAUAUUCUGCGUUUUAAAACCAAUAGAUACAUUCUGCUAUGGAAAAGCUCUUAUUAUAAUGACUUUAAACGUACAGCCAAUAUAUUAUAUAAAAUAGUACAAGCAUAGAAUGUGUGCUUAUAUUUUCAGUUGGAUUAGUCUUUCAGCCCUGUCGCGUCUGUUAGAUAUCGUUUGCUGCC